ACGGCUCAGCAAAGGAAAACCAGAGAUAAAAGAGGCACUUGUAUGAAGGGAUAAGACACAAAGCAAGGGCUCUGCAGUUUCUACUUUUGCCUUUCCAGCGUGAAAGAAGAUGCGAAUCACAACUUUAAAAAGAGCUGAGGGCAGCUUCAGAUGACAGAGCCUCCUCUGGGUUCUGGAAGAUGUGGAUUUGAUGCCCACCGCUGAGGGGUGACAGGACUCUUCAGUUACUGUUGGAUUUUGAUAGCAGCAAUUAUCUCAGCAUCCACUGAGAUAAAAAUCUUCCCAAUUAUGACAAUGGAUGACUGUUGAAAGGGAAGCAGAUGGUGGGCUGAAAUAUACUGAUCCUGACCUAUGGAGGAUAACGCCUUAGUUUUAUUUUGGACUUGUUUCUCCUUUUGGCCAAAUGACAAAUUAACACUGCAUGGGAAAAGAAUGCUGGAAAUGUAACUUGGAGGCUAGACAGGCUUUUUUGUCUUGCAUGUUGGGUUCCGGUCUUUACCUCCCCCCAAAGAGCAUUUUCAUGGAAAAGAUGGUUCCAGGAUUUGCUGUGGCCUCUUCCACAAGAGAAAGCAGGGGAGAGAGAAACCUUGAAAAUUUAAAUUAGAAAAGAACUGAAGUUGUUCACAGCAAGCGGACCAAGGAGAAUAUGAAGUACAUGAGGCUUAGAUAUGAGCCUUAUUUGCCUAAAACUGCAAGGAAGGGUGAGGACAUCUGUGACAAGAAAAGCAGAGUGGCAGUGCUAACAGCUACUGGGGAAAAAUGCAGUUGAGUUUCCCCAGAAUGACAGCUAGACAUUUCCUAGGUCUAACAGUGCUGAGAGCUACAGUGAAAAUGGAAGCAUAGUGAGGCAGGGAAGUUGAUCUGGACAUGUCUUUAAUCAUGGUUGUACCUCAUAACUGUAUGAUACUUGAUAGGCAACAGAGUUCUCAAAGUGAAUCAUCCUGAACAUUAGGGUAAAUCAGCUAUUAUCAUUAUCCCUGUUUUAUAGGCUAGGAACCUGUGGCCAAGAGAGGUCAAGUAGUAAGAGAGCUCUUAAAUGCAUGAGCCAGAACUGGGAUGGAGAGGUUUGAGCCUAGAGUCAGUAUUCUUCCCACUGCUCUGAGCUACUUUGCCCUUCAUCCCCUUCAUGACAAAAGAUGCAGAAAGGCCUAUUGCUGGGACUUAUUUAUUCCACAAAUUCUACCGUAAUAGGCACCUACUAAUGCAAUAUUUAUUGCACAAUCAUGUGUGUAGAGCAAUCAGAGGACGUGAGGUGUGUGGAGGGUCUUGUAGCUUCUCUAGUCUAGGCCAGCCUUCUCAUACCACAGAGGAGAACAGAAGGCCCAGAAGGUACAACUCAGCUGUACAACUUGGACUCAGUUUAGAGCUUUAUCUUCUAAGCCCCACUGUCUAGUCCAAGAAGGCCCUCCCUUCUUUAUGCUGGGCUCUCUUCACGAGAGAGUGAAUGAUCUCUGUCAAGUGUUGCAAAGAAAAACAUUGCCUUGCAAGUUCUUUUUCUUAAGUGAAAAACUCUACUUCCAUUUCUUUUGAUGGCUAAAUGAAUUGAAAAAUAAAACGCUCUUGCGUAUUUUCGCCAGUGAAAGCAAAUAUAAAAUAAGCAUCCCUGGUGUC